rnacentral:rRNA from 2 species
CCUACGGGAGGCUGCAGUGGGGAAUAUUGCGCAAUGGGGGGAACCCUGACGCAGCAACGCCGCGUGAGUGAAGAAGGCCUUCGGGUCGUAAAACUCUGUCAUAGGGGAAGAAUAGAUGACGGUACCCUAUGAGGAAGCCCCGGCUAACUACGUGCCAGCAGCCGCGGUAAUACGUAGGGGGCGAGCGUUGUCCGGAAUCACUGGGCGUAAAGGGUGCGUAGGCGGCAUAAUAAGUCAGAUGUGAAAUCCCAGGGCUUAACCCUGGAGUUGCAUUUGAAACUGUGAUGCUUGAGUGCAGGAGAGGGAAGCGGAAUUCCUAGUGUAGCGGUGAAAUGCGUAGAGAUUAGGAGGAACACCAGUGGCGAAGGCGGCUUUCUGGACUGUAACUGACGCUGAGGCACGAAAGCGUGGGGAGCGAACAGGAUUAGAUACCCGGGUAGUC